rnacentral:lncRNA from 1 species
UUCAUCUCUCUGCUUACGUAACAGCCGGGGAGGAAGAUGAACAGUGCCAGGCAGACACUGUUCCCAUAUGACUCAGCCCAACCAGAACUCAAUUGACUUGCCCAAAUAAAACCAAUUCAAUUCAAGUCCUCUGAUCGGUUCAGCCACUUUCCAACCAAAUUCGUUUCGGUUUUCCUAGGUUGCAACAACCAUCUCCAUACCCUUGGACAGAACCUACAAACAAAUGAAUCUAUAGCCUUUCGAAUCAAUUCAAGUAUCGAUUCGCCUUCGGUUCAGUCAUCUUUCAAUAUAAUUCCUUUUGUUCUUCCACUGUAUUUUAAAGUACUAAAACCCUAUAGGCAAUCAUUUAUUCACACCACGUUAAACACCAACC